UUCCCCUUCGGGGGGACAGGGUGACAGGUGGUGCAUGGUUGUCGUCAGCUCGUGUCGUGAGAUGUUGGGUUAAGUCCCGCAACGAGCGCAACCCUCGCCUCUAGUUGCCAGCAUCGGUUGGGCACUCUAGAGGGACUGCCGGCGACAAGUCGGAGGAAGGUGGGGAUGACGUCAAAUCAUCAUGCCCCUUAUGACCUGGGCUACACACGUGCUACAAUGGGCGGUACAAAGGGCUGCGAACCCGCGAGGGGGAGCGAAUCCCAAAAAGCCGCUCUCAGUUCGGAUUGCAGGCUGCAACUCGCCUGCAUGAAGCCGGAAUCGCUAGUAAUCGCGGAUCAGCAUGCCGCGGUGAAUACGUUCCCGGGCCUU
rnacentral:rRNA from 1 species